AAGGGAACCUGAACACAGGUGCUGCAUGGCUGUCGUCAGCUCGUGUCGUGAGAUGUUGGGUUAAGUCCCGCAACGAGCGCAACCCUUAUCAUUAGUUGCUACGCAAGGGCACUCUAAUGAGACUGCCGGUGACAAACCGGAGGAAGGUGGGGAUGACGUCAAGUCCUCAUGGCCCUUAUGUGUAGGGCUUCACACGUCAUACAAUGGUCGGUACAGAGGGUCGCCAACCCGCGAGGGGGAGCCAAUCCCAGAAAGCCGAUCGUAGUCCGGAUUGCAGUCUGCAACUCGACUGCAUGAAGUCGGAAUCGCUAGUAAUCGCGGAUCAGCAUGUCGCGGUGAAUACGUUCCCGGGUCUU
rnacentral:rRNA from 1 species